GGGAAGUUUAGUUUAUAUUUAAAAGAAAUGAACAAGCAUGUUUUUUUUUUUCGGAAAGAACUUUUGUUGGUGUGUUGGAGGUGAUUUGCCAUGAUAGACCAUGUGCACGGAGAAGAAGCAAGGAAUGAAGUCUCCGUGGGUCUGUGGAGGGACUGUGAUCUUCUGUCUCCUCUCUGGGUGUCCUUCUGGCCUGCAAAGACCCUGGGGUAGACUCUCCAAGUCCAGUCUUCACCAAUCACAUGCUAAUAACUUCAGCUGAAAGAGGGCUCUACCCUAAUGUCAUUAUACUCCCAAGCAAUGAUUGAUUGUGUUAUAGUAUGUUUUUGAAACCUAAUUACUGUCUCAGUUUGUAUUUGAGCUCAUUAAUCUUCUAGCCUGUAAAUAAGUAAAAUUGACUAAAUAACUGAAUUUCUUUAA